rnacentral:rRNA from 1 species
GACGAACGCUGGCGGCGUGCUUAACACAUGCAAGUCGAACGGUGAUGCUCCAGCUUGCUGGAGUGGAUCAGUGGCGAACAGGUGAGUAACACGUGAGCAACCUGCCCCAGACUCUGGAAUAAGCGCUGGAAACGGCGUCUAAUACUGGAUACGAAACUGGCCCGCAUGGGCAUGGUUUGGAAAGUUUUUCGGUUUGGGAUGGGCUCGCGGCCUAUCAGCUUGUUGGUGAGGUAAUGGCUCACCAAGGCGACGACGGGUAGCCGGCCUGAGAGGGCGACCGGCCACACUGGGACUGAGACACGGCCCAGACUCCUACGGGAGGCAGCAGUGGGGAAUAUUGCACAAUGGGCGAAAGCCUGAUGCAGCGACGCCGCGUGAGGGAUGACGGCCUUCGGGUUGUAAACCUCUUUCAGCAGGGAAGAAGCGAAAGUGACGGUACCUGCAGAAGAAGCACCGGCUAACUACGUG